CCAAGACUGGGUAAUUUGUAAAAAGCAAAACAACAACAACAAACCAGGAAUUUAUUUCCCACAGCUUCUGAAGUCUGGGAAGUCCAAGCUCAAGGUGAAGUCUCCUCAGGUGGCAGAGAGCAGAAGCACACAAGAGACCAAACUCCCUCCCUCAAGCUCUUUUACAAGAACACUCAGACAUUCACAAGAGCUGAACCCUCAAGCCUGCUCACCUCCUGAAGGCUACACCUCUAAUACGGAUUGAACUUUCGCAUGAGUUUUGAGGGAGAGCCAUUCAAAGCCUAGCACCCUUCGACUUCAGAGAAGCUCCGGCCCUGCUCUCACCAAGCCGGUUCCCCCUAGGCAGAGCGCCAAGAAGCAGCCCAGGCGAUCCCAAGGCUCACAAGUGCUCUCAUCAGGCUGCGCGCUGGCCGGUCAGUGCACCAGGGCAGGGCCGCCGCCCACGCGCGCUUGGUUCAGGCAGUCCAGGCUGCCCCCACUGGCGGCUACAAAAGCGCGCCGAGUCUUCCUGUCCACCCAGUCGCCCCACAUGUCAGCGGUUGGUCGCCUCGCGGUGCAGCGCUGGGCACGCGAGCCCCUCCCGCAGCCAUUCGCAGCACAAGCACCACCCGCAGCGACAGAGCUAAGAGCCCCCACGCCGCAGAGGUCGCGCGGAGCAGAUUUGAUGGAGUGAAACAGAGCCCAGCUGCUGGAGCAGAGGCACCUGCUCGAGUCCCACGGACACCCGCAGCCCAAUCCCCGGAGGCCAGUGGGGCUCACGGCCUAAGGCAAUAGCUAAUUGAGACUAUGCAUCAAUAUUCAGGCAUCGUCACUAAAGGGCACUGCGGAAGCGCUGCGUGAGAUGCGGCACCUGUCAGAAAGGGGGCUGCAUUUCAAAUGAGGAAUAUCGUAUUGUAU
rnacentral:lncRNA from 10 species